UACGUAGGGUGCAAGCGUUAAUCGGAAUUACUGGGCGUAAAGCGUGCGCAGGCGGUGAUGUAAGACAGAUGUGAAAUCCCCGGGCUCAACCUGGGAACUGCAUUUGUGACUGCAUCGCUGGAGUGCGGCAGAGGGGGAUGGAAUUCCGCGUGUAGCAGUGAAAUGCGUAGAGAUGCGGAGGAACACCGAUGGCGAAGGCAGCCCCCUGGGCUAGCACUGACGCUCAGGCACGAAAGCGUGGGGAGCAAACAGG
rnacentral:rRNA from 1 species